CAAAUUGUUUGGGAAACACAGCUGGGGUUAUUAAUAUACGGAGGCAUUUUAAUUGAAGAAGAUGACUGUCAUCAUACACAGCUCUGGAUCUUCUCCUCUGGACUUCGUAGCCAACUGCUCUAUCUGCAGCAGAAAGAAAUGGAAUCAAAUGCUGGCUGUGAAGAGCAUUGGGAAGCACCAUUCUAGUUGAAGAGAAAAUCCAAGUAAAAGAAGGACGAAGAAGACUGAGCUUGGGUGAAUGCUUAUGGUGUUCUGUAUAAGAAAACUUCCCCUGCAUUGAGGUAAUGAAGAUAUUCUCCUAUGUUUUAUUCAAGAAACUUUAUAGAUUUAAAUUUUAUGUUUUGGUUUAUGAUUCUCUUGACAUUUUUCUUUUUUUACGUGUCAGGUAGGUG